UACGUAGGGUGCAAGCGUUAAUCGGAAUUACUGGGCGUAAAGCGUGCGCAGGCGGUGAUGUAAGACCGAUGUGAAAUCCCGGGCUCAACCUGGGAACUGCAUUGGUGACUGCAUCGCUUGAGUAUGGCAGAGGGGGGUAGAAUUCCACGUGUAGCAGUGAAAUGCGUAGAGAUGUGGAGGAAUACCGAUGGCGAAGGCAGCCCCCUGGGUCAAUACUGACGCUCAUGCACGAAAGCGUGGGGAGCAAACAGGAUUAGAAACCCCAGUAGU
rnacentral:rRNA from 1 species